rnacentral:rRNA from 1 species
UACGUAGGGUGCAAGCGUUAAUCGGAAUUACUGGGCGUAAAGCGUGCGCAGGCGGUUUUGUAAGACCGAUGUGAAAUCCCCGGGCUCAACCUGGGAACUGCAUUGGUGACUGCAAGGCUUGAGUGUGUCAGAGGGAGGUGGAAUUCCGCGUGUAGCAGUGAAAUGCGUAGAUAUGCGGAGGAACACCGAUGGCGAAGGCAGCCUCCUGGGCUAACACUGACGCUCAUGCACGAAAGCGUGGGGAGCAAACAGG